rnacentral:rRNA from 5 species
UCCGUAGGUGAACCUGCGGAAGGAUCAUUACCGAGUUGAUUCGAGCUCCGGCUCGACUCUCCCACCCAAUGUGUACCUACCUCUGUUGCUUUGGCGGGCCGCGGUCCUCCGCACCGGCGCCCUUCGGGGGGCUGGCCAGCGCCCGCCAGAGGACCAUAAAACUCCAGUCAGUGAACUUCGCAGUCUGAAAAACAAGUUAAUAAACUAAAACUUUCAACAACGGAUCUCUUGGUUCUGGCAUCGAUGAAGAACGCAGCGAAAUGCGAUAAGUAAUGUGAAUUGCAGAAUUCAGUGAAUCAUCGAAUCUUUGAACGCACAUUGCGCCCCUUGGUAUUCCGAGGGGCAUGCCUGUUCGAGCGUCAUUUCAACCCUCAAGCUCUGCUUGGUAUUGGGCCCCGUCCUCCACGGACGCGCCUUAAAGACCUCGGCGGUGGCGUCUUGCCUCAAGCGUAGUAGAAAACACCUCGCUUUGGAGCGCACGGCGUCGCCCGCCGGACGAACCUUUGAAUUAUUUCUCAAGGUUGACCUCGGAUCAGGUAGGGAUACCCGCUGAACUUAAGCAUAUCAAUAAGCGGAGGA